rnacentral:tRNA from 1 species
GCCCUGGUGGCACAACGGUCGAGUACUUGGCUGCUAACCGAGAGGUUGGUGAUUCGAACCCACCCAGCAGCU